rnacentral:rRNA from 1 species
UGGGGAAUCAUGGCCAAUGGGCGAAAGCCUGAACCUGCGACGCCGCGUGAGUGAUGAAGGUCGUAAGAUCGUAAAACUCUUUUCAGGGAUCUUAAAGCCUGUCUGUCAACAACAGGCAGGUCUGACUCUCCCUGGAAGAAGCCCCAGCCAACUACGUGCCAGCCGCUGCGGUAAUCCGUAGGGGGCGAGCGUUAUUCGGAAUUACUGGGUGUAAAGGGUAUGUAGGCGGCCCUUCAAGUCGCGUGUCAAAGUCCAGUGCUCAACGCUGGGUGUGCACGCGAUACUGACGGGCUUGAGGGCUGGAGAGGUGAGCGGAAUUCCCGGUGUAGUGGUAAAAUACGUAGAGAUCGGGAGGAACACCAGCGGCGCAGGCGGCUCACUAGACAGUUUCUGACGCUAAGAUACGAAAGCGUGGGGAGCAAACA